GGUGUAGCAAUACAUGCUGACGAGCGGCGGACGGGUGAGUAACGCUUGGGAAUCUGCCUAUUAGUGGGGGACAACCCGGGGAAACUCGGGCUAAUACCGCAUACGCUCUACGGAGGAAAGCCGGGGACCGCAAGGCCUGGCGCUAAUAGAUGAGCCCAAGUCGGAUUAGCUAGUUGGUAGGGUAACGGCCUACCAAGGCUACGAUCCGUAACUGGUCUGAGAGGACGACCAGUCACACCGGAACUGAGACACGGUCCGGACUCCUACGGGAGGCAGCAGUGGGGAAUAUUGGACAAUGGGGGAAACCCUGAUCCAGCGACGCCGCGUGGGUGAAGAAGGCCUGCGGGUUGUAAAGCCCUUUCAGUGGGGAAGAAAAGCCUCGACCUAACACGUCGGGGUCUUGACGUAACCCAUAGAAGAAGCACCGGCUAACUCUGUGCCAGCAGCCGCG
rnacentral:rRNA from 1 species